rnacentral:rRNA from 1 species
UACAGAGGUCCCAAGCGUUGUUCGGAUUCAUUGGGCGUAAAGGGUGCGUAGGUGGCGCCGUAAGUGGGGUGUGAAAUUUCGGAGCUUAACUCCGAAACUGCAUUCCAUACUGCGGUGCUUGAGGACUGGAGAGGAGACUGGAAUUCAUGGUGUAGCAGUGAAAUGCGUAGAUAUCAGGAGGAACACCGGUGGUGUAGACGGCUCACUGGACCGUAACUGACGCUGAAACACGAAAGCGUGGGUAGCAAACAGG